GACGAACGCUGGCGGCGUGCUUAACACAUGCAAGUCGAACGGAGUGGCGAACGGGUGAGUAACAAGUGGGUGACCUGCCCUGCACUUCGGGAUAGGCCUGGGAAACUGGGUCUAAUACCGGCUAGUGGGGGAUGGGCCCGCGGCCUAUCAGCUUGUUGGGGGGGUAAUGGCCUACCAAGGCGGCGACGGUUCGGGGGCCUGAGAAGGUGGACGGUCACAUUGGGACUGAGACACCUGCCAGACGCCUACGGGAGGCAGCAGCGGAGAAUAUUGCACACUGGGCGGAAGCCUGAUGCAGGGACGCCGUGUGGGGGAUGACGGCUUUCGGGUUGUAAACUCCUUUCACCAUCGACGCGGUAGAUGGAGAGGAAGCACCGGCUAACUACGUGCCAGCAGCCGCGGUAAUAC
rnacentral:rRNA from 1 species